CUAACCUUCUUAAAAGCCAGGUUUUGCAUCAGUGUCCCGCAAGUAUACAGAGUCCAUAGAAUGUAUGGCAGUUUUAUGAGAGAUUUAUUAGGUUGACUUACAUACCCGUAGAUUGGAUAGCCUCAUAAUAGGUACCUGCAGUCUGGUGAAAGGGGAAAACAAUAUUUUCUCAGUCUAAAGCUGCAAGACAUAGAAUAAGAGGGACACGUUAUACAACCCCAUUCUGAGACUGAAGACCCAGAUCCCUUGGUAAGUCACUGGUAGUGUGAGUCCGUGUCUAAAGGCUGAGGAAUCAGAGUCUGGUGGCUGGAGGAUAUCAACAGCAACAUCUGCACCUGCUCAAGAAGAGCCCAGCCUGUGCCCAUGUGGGAGCUCUGCUCACGGCUUUUCAUUCGAACAGGGCUCUCAGCCUAUUGGUUGCUGCCAUCCAUAUUCAGGAAUUCUAAGAGCUUUGGAGGAAGCUGUCAACUCUCUUCUGCUAUUUUUAAAAGUAUACAGUUGAGUUAAGCUACUCUCUCUGGUAUACAAGACCUGCGACUCCUUUGCCUGCCACAUCGUGACUGCUCAACAUCUCCACAGAGAAGAGAAGAGAAGAGAAGAGAAGAGAGAGAUUUCUUGUUUGUCCCUGCUAAUAUGCCGAUUCUGCCCAGCUACAUCACUUCUGGGGGCACAUGACGACUCCUCUCUGCCUACACUUCCCAGAAUCCUCCUUGUUUUCUAGUCCUACCUAUCCUCCUUCCUGGUCAAUCAGUGCUUUAUUCACCAACCAAUAAGACAAGCAUACACACAGAAGAACAUUCCCCAUCAGUUGUUAGCUACUACAUGGGUGCUGGGAACUGAAUCCAGUUCCUCUGCAAGAACAACAAAUGCUCUCAACUCCUGAGCCAGUUCUCCAACUCUGAAUGGCAUGUGCUUGGUUGGUAGAUUCACAAGCCUUCAUUAUA